UUUGGGUUUGUUUUUCGUUUCCUCUUCAUUGGCGGCCCGGUUCCCCGCGCUCCGCUUGUUGCUCCGGCCCCCACCGGGUUCCUCGCUGCCGCCUCCCGCUCCCGACGCCGCCGCCCCGGGCUGCUCCAUCUUUCUCCGGCCCUGUCACCUGUGCCCUGUAACCCCACCUCUCCUCAACUGAGAAAGCACCUCGGGGCGCUCACACUGCCCCGCGCUGACUCGGCGGCACCUCUUCCUGAGGGAGAGAGUGUCUGCCCGGGAAGCUGCCGAUUUCAGGCCCCCGGGACUCCAGGCUGCCAGGCACCCC
rnacentral:lncRNA from 1 species